rnacentral:misc_RNA from 1 species
GAAGUUAACCUUAACUUCCCUGAAGGUCAGACUCCUAAAGACAAGGGACUGGACCGAUAUGCCAAGAAACCAGAAAUCAAACACCUGUUCCGUGAGCCCGAGAAGCGCCCUGCUGCUGUGGUGUCCACUGUCUUUACCUUCCUGGUCCUCGCCCCUGUUCUUAUCCUGGUCCUCUUGUGGAUGAAGAUUGGUGUCAAUGUCUCCAAUUUCCCAAUGUCUCUCAGUGCUGUAGGAUUCCAUCUCUGUCUCGCAGCCAUCUUUGGACUGUACUACUUAUACUGGGUUGAGCUGAACAUGUUCCAAACAGUCAGAUAUCUGGGCUUGCUGGCACUGCCCACUUUCAUAUUUGGAAAUAGAUUAUUAAGUGGAAUAGCUUCCAAAAGAAAAGGCGAGAAGAAAGUGUGAAGAAGAAAUGAACUAUUAGGAAUUAAUAUAAUUUUUACAUGAAGAAAUAAAUAUAUUUUAUGUUAUGUAUGUGUAUGUUACUUAUUCUGUAAAUUUUUUUAAAUUAUUUUUUUUUCUUGUUUAAAAGUAGGUUUGUUUGAAACUUAGAAACUUUGUUGAUAACUGAAAGGGGAAUAACUGAUUUGUACAUUUGAGUUUACUUUCAUAAAUCAAAGCUGACAAAAACUUAAUAAUUCAUAACUUAUAUACAGCGAAUGUGUCCUCUCUUGUUCGUGAUGAAGUCCAAGAUGUAUGAGAGAUACAAUCCUUCAUUUCAAACUGUACAACCAUUCAUUUCUUUCAUGGAAAUAAAUUUUGUAUAAAAGU